rnacentral:sRNA from 1 species
AGAAAAGGGAAACCUUCUACUAAAAACGCCCACGUCAUGUGGGAACGUAGAAGCCACCACCUCCUGUGGA